rnacentral:lncRNA from 1 species
AUGGAGCAUCCAGCUGUCCCCAGUAAUUACAGCCGGAGUCAGGGGCAGAAGGCGCACUCGGGAACCCCCUGUGUCACAUUCCUGGUGCCUCCGCACGUUCAUGCACAGAGACGUCAAAGACGCCUGCAUCCCACACAACUAAAGCCGGCGUCGGUGCCCAGAGGAAACGUGAUGUCUUUGCUGAAGAUGAAGAUUCCCCUACAGCCCUGUUUGCUCCAAACACAGCUCUUCCUGGCCAAGGUUCUAUAGUUCUCCAAUUUUACGUGUUGCCCUUGGACAUUGAAAACAAUCGUUUUCCGUGCAAAGAAACCCGGUCUUGGAGAGUUUGAGUGACAUGCCCAAGGCCAUGCAGUUCAUUUGGUCUGGAAGGCACUUCUCAGCAGCCAUGCUGAAGAGGACAGGGACAGGCUGACACCCGUUCAGAGGACAGUGAUGUGGCCACCACGCAGAGCAGCUCCCUCCGCGUGACUCGUGGUUGAAGGCCCAGAACGCCCUGUGCGGGGAGGUGACAGAUGCUGUUUCCGCAGCCCCGCCGUCUCAGGAAGAGGGAGGCCACCGCUUGCCACGAUGAGUUGAAAUGAAUCCAGCUACACGGAGCUGGAAGAAGACCUUUCUUGGGUGCCUUUUCAGUUAUGAGGAAGGACAUUCUGAUGUGAAGAGCUGUCUAGAGACGGCCCGGGGUGCUUCUGGACAAGGGGGCCUCUAACUUCUCCAUUUACAAAAGAACUCGUUCGCUUUGCAAACUUGCUGAAGGUUGCUGGCUGUACACGGGUCCAGCAGUCAUGGCUCCCAAGACCAAAGGCCGGAUGGCGCUCCUAGGCUGCCCCUGAACUGCUUGUGGCUUCUGGUCCGAAGAGCUUACAGCAUUGUUUGCCAUCCACUUGUUCCAAGAUCCAGGCACUGCUGAAACCAUAGCCCAAGGACACUUCCAAGAACUAGACAAAAGGCAGCGCUGUGUCACCUCCAGUCCUAAGGCCGCUGAUGGAGGAGUUAAGGCAGAACCAGGACGGCGUGGGGAGGUCAGGAAAGUGAAAUCUCCAUCGGCUGCUACGGCAGAUGAAUCGGGAACGGAUAAAACCCAUUGAUCACGAAUGAGGGGUUCAGAAAAUCUGUGUUUUUAGAUACGCGGAGGUCGCUGCCCGAAGCAGCUGCCUGCAGAGUUCAGAGCAGCUGCCUCUUGAGGAGUGGAGCUGGGUGGGGAGUGCGGGCGGCAGGGCGGUCUUGCUUUCAGUUUUAAGUGCUUCUUGUU